rnacentral:tRNA from 1 species
UCCCGGCUAGCGCAAUUGGCCAGAGCGUCAGACUUUUAAGCAUUUAUCUGCUUCGCAAUCUGAAGGUUGUGGGUUCGACCCCCACGUCGGGAG